rnacentral:rRNA from 1 species
GUGGGGAAUAUUGGACAAUGGGGGAAACCCUGAUCCAGCCAUGCCGCGUGUGUGAAGAAGGCUUUCGGGUCGUAAAGCACUUUAAGCUGGGAGGAAGGGCUUUUGGCUAAUAUCCAGGAGUUUUGACGUUACCAGCAGAAUAAGCACCGGCUAACUCUGUGCCAGCAGCCGCGGUAAUACAGAGGGUGCAAGCGUUAAUCGGAAUUACUGGGCGUAAAGCGCGCGUAGGUGGCUUGGUAAGUUGAAUGUGAAAUCCCCGGGCUCAACCUGGGAACUGCAUCCAAAACUGCCUGGCUAGAGUACGGUAGAGGGUAGUGGAAUUUCCGGUGUAGCGGUGGAAUGCGUAGAUAUCGGAAGGAACACCAGUGGCGAAGGCGACUACCUGGACUGAUACUGACACUGAGGUGCGAAAGCGUGGGGAGCAAACAGG